AGAGUUUGAUCCUGGCUCAGGACGAACGCUGGCGGCGUGCCUAAUACAUGCAAGUCGAACGAGAGCGACCGGUGCUUGCACUGGUCAAUCUAGUGGCGAACGGGUGAGUAACACGUGGGUAACCUGCCCAUCAGAGGGGGAUAACAUUCGGAAACGGAUGCUAAAACCGCAUAGGUCUUCGAACCGCAUGGUUUGAAGAGGAAAAGAGGCGCAAGCUUCUGCUGAUGGAUGGACCCGCGGUGCAUUAGCUAGUUGGUGAGGUAACGGCUCACCAAGGCCGUGAUGCAUAGCCGACCUGAGAGGGUGAUCGGCCACAUUGGGACUGAGACACGGCCCAAACUCCUACGGGAGGCAGCAGUAGGGAAUCUUCCGCAAUGGACGCAAGUCUGACGGAGCAACGCCGCGUGAGUGAAGAAGGUUUUCGGAUCGUAAAACUCUGUUGUUAGAGAAGAACAAGUGCUAGAGUAACUGUUAGCGCCUUGACGGUAUCUAACCAGAAAGCCACGGCUAACUACGUGCCAGCAGCCGCGGUAAUACGUAGGUGGCAAGCGUUGUCCGGAUUUAUUGGGCGUAAAGCGAGCGCAGGCGGUUCCUUAAGUCUGAUGUGAAAGCCCCCGGCUCAACCGGGGAGGGUCAUUGGAAACUGGGGAACUUGAGUGCAGAAGAGGAGAGUGGAAUUCCAUGUGUAGCGGUGAAAUGCGUAGAUAUAUGGAGGAACACCAGUGGCGAAGGCGACUCUCUGGUCUGUAACUGACGCUGAGGCUCGAAAGCGUGGGUAGCAAACAGGAUUAGAUACCCUGGUAGUCCACGCCGUAAACG
rnacentral:rRNA from 2 species